CAUCUCAUUUUGCCGGGCGUACGUUGAAGGUGCCGUUAGAGGGUGCUGUAAUGGACGUUCUUCUAUUGAAAUCCUUGUCGAUGUCGCGUGGUUUGAGGUGUGUUUUUUAAGUUUUCACGUGUUUCCUAAUAAUUGGUUUGUACUGUAGGCGGACAUCCAUCGAAGCAAGAAAAAGCAUGAACACAAAUUUACCAUUUUUAACAAAAUUUUAGCGGGGGAUCAAGUAAAAUCUGGAAAUGUUCCAGGUUGGACGAGUGAGCAUACAGUUGAAAAACACUGAAAGUGCAUUACCAUUAAGGUAUGAGCUGCUUCUCUUGCUAAAGAACAACUUGUCCUUGACGUUCAGAGUGUUGGUGAAGCUGGGUACUUAAAUGGCUCUAAAGAUGUUUCACUUCGCUGGCAUUGCAGCGAUGAACAUCACACAUGGACUAUUUAGGAAAGGAUUUUUAGCAUACUGGGAACACAACUAUCAACAAUGCAACAUUCUAGGGGUGCUAUUUUAUCAUUCAAGAGCCUUAUACAAUGAUUAUCAUCUGCAAUUUGUAUGGCCUUUCCCAAGCUUCUACCAGAAGUUGAAUCUAUGAGUCAUGUUAAUAGUAACAUUGCAUCUGAAAAGAUUCUUGGUUGGGGCAAGACACUGAAUAAAUUGUAUUGAUUCGAUGGAUGACAUGACAUUUCUAUACUUAAUUUGGAUUCCCGAGACGGUAUUUUAUAUUUAAAAAAUUGAAGUGCAUAUCUGGGCUCCCUUCCUUUCCGUAGCCCCGUUUCCCCUUGACUCGUAAUAAGCCCGUAGGGGGUCAUGCCCCUACUGUACGGUAUAUAUAAAAACAACAUAUUCCGAGGUUUGGAGGGCUCUGGCCGGAAAGGGGACGUGGGGUGCCGCUUAGUCCGAUGAUGUGUUCACGGAGGGCGAUGUGGCUACCCACAAAUCCGAACUAAAGGUUAAUCGCUCCUGUAAAAAUGUUCCAAAUCUUCAGCUCUUCUUCCGGCUUCUCUUAGCCAAUCACCGGGUGGGCCAAAAAAUGUCGGAAAAAAAAAUCGCACUUUUUUUCUUUUUUUCCGACACGUACCCAUCUACCGCUCAGACUCGUUAUUACAGGCGAAGGCAAUUUCAGUCCAUUGGAUGCCAUUCGCAGUUAGUUCAUUAGCGUGGAUGGAGAAUAACGCGUGGCUGGAGAAACAAUUGUAAAAUGGUUAAGAUAAUACAACAAAAGGAUGAUCAAAUUAUGAAGCUGCAGGCCCAAUUAUUGGAACAACACAAAAUAUUAGAUAACAGCAAAGCUAAGGAUGCUCAAAUUUUGAGUCUACAAGCUCAGCUAGGGGAAAAGAACAAAUUGGAACGGAACAGUUUUCAAACAGUGAAGGAGGUUUUUCAAAACUCUUCCUUAAUUGAAUGUGAGGAUGAGUUGGCAUUAGGCUAACACAGUCAGUUAUUCAGUCCACCACCUGACAGUGUGUUAAAUUUAAAUUCUGUUAGUGCUGUACUAAAAGAAUCGUUAAUAAUAAGUCCAUGCAGCGAAGGAACUGAACAAUUGUGGGACCGUAGUUAGGCCGAAAAUGGGUGUGGUUCGGAAACCCAGAAAUGGCACAAGUCAACAUAAAACAUGGAUUAGGUACUGUGUUAACCCAUUUCAGAGAUUUCUAUGUCGAGCGUUGUUUUCAAAUUUUCUUCGUGAAAUUGUCAUUGACACUAACAGCAAACAGGCAUACACAUUAGCAUACUUAUUAUGUGCGCGGAUGCUGUUGUGCAUGCUUUUGAAUUAUAUUAUACGGCUGCCAAUUGA